rnacentral:rRNA from 1 species
UACGAAGGGGGCUAGCGUUGUUCAGAAUCACUGGGCGUAAAGCGUGCGUAGACGGUUAUGUAAGUCGGGUGUGAAAGCCCCGGGCUCAACCUGGGAAUUGCAUUCGAGACUGCAUAGCUAGGGUGCGGAAGAGGGAAGCGGAAUUUCCGGUGUAGCGGUGAAAUGCGUAGAUAUCGGAAGGAACACCAGUGGCGAAAGCGGCUUCCUGGUCCAGCACCGACGUUCAGGCACGAAAGCGUGGGGAGCAAACAGG